GAGGGCUAUUUAUUUCCUGAUCAGGGGCCUACUUUCGAAAGGCAAGGACAUACAAUCGAAGAUCUCUCAUCUGACAAUGCCGACUCUGGGAAUGUUGACUAUGGAAUUCAAGGGCAUCGCACAAGAAACCAUCCAUGUUCUGAUCAGGGAUCGUUUGAAAGGCAAGGACACACAAUCGAAGAUCUCUCAUCUGGCAAUGCCAACUCUGGGAAUGUUGACUAUGGAAUUCAAGGGCAUCGCACAAGAAACCAUCCAUGUUCUGAUCAGGGAUCGUU